rnacentral:rRNA from 1 species
AACGGGUGAGUAAUAUAUCGGAACGUGCCCAGUCGUGGGGGAUAACGUAGAGAGAUUUACGCUAAUACCGCAUACGAUCUAAGGAUGAAAGCGGGGGCUUCGCAAGAACCUCGCGCGAUUGGAGCGGCUGAUAUCAGAUUAGGUUGUUGGUGAGGUAAAAGCUCACCAAGCCGACGAUCUGUAGCUGGUUUGAGAGAACGACCAGCCACACUGGGACUGAGACACGGCCCAGACUCCUACGGGAGGCAGCAGUGGGGAAUUUUGGACAAUGGGCGAAAGCCUGAUCCAGCAAUGCCGCGUGUGGGAAGAAGGCCUUCGGGUUGUAAACCACUUUUGUACGGAACGAAACGUCUCGCUUUAAUACAGUGGGGUAAUGACGGUACCGUAAGAAUAAGCACCGGCUAACUACGUGCCAGCAGCCGCGGUAAUACGUAGGGUGCGAGCGUUAAUCGGAAUUACUGGGCGUAAAGCGUGCGCAGGCGGUUAUAUAAGACAGUUGUGAAAUCCCCGGGCUCAACCUGGGAAUUGCAUCUGUGACUGUUUAGCUAGAGUACGGUAGAGGGGGAUGGA